CGAAACGUUUGGAUGGCGACCGGCGCACGGGUGAGUAACACGUAUCCGAACCUGCCUCAUACUCGGGGAUAGCCCUUUCGAAAGAAAGAUUAAUACCCGAUGUUAUAGUCCUACCGCAGUGAAUGGGAUUAUUAAAGAAUUUCGGUAUGGGAUGGGGAUGCGUUCCAUUAGUUAGUUGGCGGGGUAACGGCCCACCAAGACAACGAUGGAUAGGGGUUCGUGAGAGGAAGGUCCCCCCACAUUGGAACUGAGACACGGUCCAAACUCCUACGGGAGGCAGCAG
rnacentral:rRNA from 1 species